AGUAUAGAUUGAUCUUUGUUCAAUUUGCCAUUUCCUUUGUCCAUGUAGGUUCCUUGUGAAAUUCCACAUUGCUCCAGAUUUCAGGGACAGCUCUUGCUUCAUGUACCCAGGACCUGUUUCAAAUUCAGCUAAUGGAGCUGCAUCACACAGGUUGGGUGGCAUUUUCAUGGCCAGGCCCUGGAAUACGGACAACCCUCCUCUCUCUCCCCACACCACCAUGAUGCUGGCCUAAAACUGGAUUAUAUCUGCCUCGGCCUCUUCCGCAAACACUGGAUUCACUGGAGUGUGUUACAGACAAUACGGCUCUCAAACAAUGAAGCAUUUGUGUUCAUUUUCUUCUAUUUUAUCUUUGGAAUUCUACUAUUUAGGUCACUAUCUGUUGCUUCCAGCUACUCUUCCCUGACAAAUUGUAGCUCUUUUUAGGCUUAAAAAGAUAUAAUCAAUGAAUUCAUCUCUGUUAUUCCUCUGGGUAUAAAGGUCUAGGUGUAAUAAGUGGUACACAUAUUCCAAGAUUACGUUGCUGUUCCUGAACUGCAGCCCCAAGAUUAAUUGUGCGUUAUAGGCCAAAAUUUGAAGAGCUGCUGGAUGCUGACCUCUUCAAAAAUCUGAGAUAAAUAACACAAUAAAGAACACUGUUACCAAAUUUCUCA
rnacentral:lncRNA from 1 species